rnacentral:lncRNA from 1 species
AUGGCAAUAACCCGACUGCUCUGUGUAAUCGGAGGCGGGAGCUGUUUAGCGCGAAACAAUAUGGCAGGUCCCAUGCACAACCACUGCAGGAAGAGAGGACCCUGCGAAGGUGCACAAGGAGCGGAAAUGUUGAGCGGCUGCAGACGGAGACGAACUUUUCCGCCUGCUGCGAGGGAUGAGGUUCGCACCAUUCCUCAAAGUAAAGAAAUGGGCCCAUCCUUCAAUUGUCAGACAUCCAGUAAACAUUGACCCAGCAGGACGGAUCCCAGGCGUGGCCUGAAUUUAACUGCUUUUCCCUGCCUGGAAAAUCAACCCGGCAAAAUUUUUACCUGCGGCAGAAGAAGAAGCCCCGAUUAGCUGAAAGUUCUCUGCUGAGCUAUGUGAUCAUGCCUCAAGUGGGUUCUUUGGGUUUGGACAAAAAGGCAAGUAUUCCAUCCUAAGCGACUCUGCCUCUGGAGCACAGGUCAUGUGAUCCUGCCUUCAGGUGACGGAACUGGUCUCUGUGAUGUAUGGGUUUGUCUGUUGACAUGCCAGGCGACUAUUGUGUUUUUUGAAAACAGAGUCUUUCCUUUUGCAUUUUCAAGACGAUUUCACACCCACAUUUUCUGAAAUGUUUGCCAUUUGCCAAUCCCAUCUGCAAAGUCUUCCCUGGUUGUAUGCAUGUUAUUAAUGUGUUCUAUUGAUUAUUGUACAGGUCCAGGUCCUGCCAAAGGAGCUUGAUAGAAACUCGACGAACUGCAAGUUUUCUUUAUUUGUAGUGAUGUUUGAAUAAAUGUAAAUUUGAGCUGCUAUUGGGUUUAAAA